rnacentral:lncRNA from 1 species
AAUUAAUUAAACUUUAUCAUUAUAUAUCACUAGUAAUAUUAGGUUAACAUAAUUAGUCAUUUGUCGUAUAGAUAAUUUUUUAAUACCUUAAAUGGUGUAAGUAAUUAUUUUAUUAGAAAUAUUAAAAUUAACAACAUUUGUAAUUAGUAUUUAGUAAUAUAAGUAAGUUUUUUGCUGAUACAGAUAAUGUUGGAUAUUUUACAUUUUUGUCGAAUACGAAUCUAGAACCGGAUAGAGAAAAACACUGAAAAUCGAAUAUGGAUACAUCCAUUUGACAUCCACAUUGAAAACGAAUACGAACAUAUUAAUGUUUUUAGCGGAUACGAAUUCGGAUAAUUCCGAUUUCCAGACAUCUAAAACCAUCCCUCCAUGUCAGCGAGGCGGGCAAUUAAAAAUUUAAAACUAGCGUUUCGUUGCCCCCAGCAAGCCAAACACAUUUCUCUCCAUCGUGGUUCUCUCUCCCCCAGCUAGCCAAAC